CAGCAGAGUAUGCCCAAGGGUGCAGAGAGCCAAUGGGAGCCAACGAGGUCACUGAGCUCAGAGCCCAACACCACAGGCAGUGAGAUGAGAGGAGGGGAGAGAGAGGAGGAGCUGACUCUGCUCUCAUAAGGACAGCAGCAUCCUGAGGAGAAGGAUGAGUGACACUGCCCUCCCUGACUCUGCCUGGGGCCCCACCCUGCUCUGCUGUGUCACUGUCUUUCUCCUGGGGACAGGUUCAGCAAAACCCGGGGUCAUCCAGUCUCCAAGACAUCUAAUCAAAGCAAGGGGAGGAAGGUCCAUGCUGAAAUGCAUUCCCAUCUCUGGACAUGACAGAGUGAGCUGGUACCAGCAGACUCUGGGGCAGGAACUGAGGUUCCUCAUUCAGCAUUAUCAAGAAAUGGAGGGAGAGAAAGGAAGCAUCCCCAGCCGAUUCUCAGUGCAGCAGUUCAGUGACUAUCACUCUGAGAUGAACAUGAGCGCCUUGCAGCUGGAGGAUUCUGCUGUGUAUUUCUGUGCUAGCUCAUCACAGCCUUACAGAGUGACUGGCUUUCUGUCCCCAAUCUUCCUGUGCCAGUUGGUGAUGUACUAUGGAGGGGUGGGGACUUGCUGCACAGCUGCCCUAGCUGUGGCUCAAGAAUGCAUUAACUCUAUACUAGGCCCCUCUGCCCACCUGAGCUCAGACGGAGUCCUAAACACUAUCGAGGACUCCAUGACUCCUGACGUUGGCACAUGUCCGCCAGUGCCUUCCAGUUCCUUGCCAGUGGCAGGAACCUUAGUCUGGGUUGGGUGCCUGGGUGUUGUCAUAAGCUACAUGUUUCAUUCCAAAGGUAUACUCUCGUGUUCCACUUGCUGAUGAAGAUUUCUACAUGUCACUAUGUAGAGAGGAAUUGAUAACUUAUGAAACUAUCCAACAUUUCAUGCUUAAGAAUAUCAGUAUUAGCAUUGAAACUUUCGUUUCUUUUCCUUCAAAAUCAAAGUGUGACUUUUUAAGGUGUUCACUGCUUUGGUUAAAAAAAAAGUAGCAGCUUUCAGCCUCUUGUGUUUAUAAGACCAGCUGAGAUUAGUAUGUAUGUAUUUGGGGAGUGCUGAAAGUUUACUGAUCUGAAAUAUUAAACCAGAUAAUGUUUUUCUUCUUAUAGCUUCAAGAGGAGACUUUCAUUUCCAGCAAAAGAGAAUUUGUUGUGCAAAAAUCAAGUAUUCAAUUUAAUAAGAAUAUAAAGAUAUUUGUGACGGAUACAUCUAUCUCCAGUGACAUAACAGUAUUGUAAAGAAGAUUAUCACUACUGGUAGACUAGACCUUGUUUUGGAAAUGAGCACAAGAGCUGUGAAUUUUCAUGUUCCUCACUCCAAACAUCUAAGUCUUCGGUAGAAAGUGACUCUUUCUCAGGCUGACUUUGGCCAUGAGCAGUUUCCGGGUUUUUUGUUUGUUUGUUUGUUUGUUUUGUUUUGUUGUUGUUGUUGACUACUGGUCUCUGUGGACAAUCAAGCUCAGGGAAUACAUGAGAAUGCAGUUUCUGGGACUUCAGACCCUGUACCUAGCUUCUCCAUACGGAUGCUACGCAGUCCACUUUGUCUCUGCUUAUGAUUUUGACCCUUCCUCACCAGGGUAGGACUAUAGAAAGUAUCCCUCAAGAUCCCCCCAGGAUUGGAGCCACAGAGAGGGGGCUUCAUACGUUGAUAUUGUCUGUGUAGACAGUACCUGAGAUAAGCUUUAUGGGAAGGAACCUAUACUGUCUUUGAGUACAGGGAAGUGCUUCAUGCUAGCAAACUUACGAUAAAGGUGAUAUAAGAGCUUUUGCAUGAUUUUGGUACUUUUCUCUGGGAUCCUACAGUCACCAGAUGUACACAUUGACUGGCAAACACAUCAUCACCAUUGCAAAGGGGGUUUCUUCUUUACUGGAAGCAUAAUGACAAAGACUUAGAUCCACCCUCAACAGCUUCUUCUGAAACAAAGGUGACAUUCCUUUCAGUGAAGGAACACUCUCUGGGCUGAACCUAGAAUGUGAAGCUUAUGUCCCUGAAUUGGUAUGGGAUAGCUCAAAACAAUUGUUCAAUUUGUAAUAACCUUAAUCUUGGUGUCUUGUAAGCUUUCUGGGUGUCAAGCAGUCCUUGUAGUCAUAGAUGACACUGACAGUUUAUCUUCCAGUAUUUAGACUAAGUAAAUAAUUAGUAGAAACUGCAUAGAAAGCAUAUUGCAUUUCCAAGGUGCAUCGAGACUCUGCAAAUAGCAAACAAUAAAGCAAUGUAAGUACAGAAUGGUAUCAUAGUAGGAAUAAUAUAAGCCUAAUAUACUGACUAAAAUAAGAGAAAGAGUACAGACUUCUAGAAAAUAAAAAAUAAACUACAAAUUCUUUUCUGAGCUGGAAAUUUUUGAAAAUACAUUCCAAAUAUUGUUGCACAUUUCACCUAUGCACUUACAAUUGAAAGCUAACUUGCUUCUAUAUGAAAGGAGCAUGGUGCAGCUCAAGCAUUCGUUAGAGACAGUGACAUCACUAAGUCACUGAGAGCCCCAGCUCUCGUUUCCACAAAGCGGGCUGGAAGACAUCAGAUCUUGCCUUGGUCCUGAGAUGGACGUCAGGCUCUUCUGUGUGGCCUUGAGUCUGCUGUGUGCAAGUGAGUGCUGGACAGGACAGAGGUGUGCUUCCCUACCCAAAAUUCCCAAGUCUUUGAGCUGAGAUGACAUCAUCAGGCUCUGUCUCUCUCUAUUACAGAACCCA